rnacentral:rRNA from 1 species
AUUGAACGCUGGCGGCAUGCCUUACACAUGCAAGUCGAACGGCAGCACGGGAGCAAUCCUGGUGGCGAGUGGCGAACGGGUGAGUAAUAUAUCGGAACGUGCCCAGUCGUGGGGGAUAACGCAGCGAAAGCUGUGCUAAUACCGCAUACGAUCUCUGGAUGAAAGCGGGGGACUCGCAAGGGCCUCGCGCGAUUGGAGCGGCCGAUAUCAGAUUAGCUAGUUGGCGGGGUAAAGGCCCACCAAGGCGACGAUCUGUAGCUGGUCUGAGAGGACGACCAGCCACACUGGAACUGAGACACGGUCCAUACUCCUACGGGAGGCAGCAGUGGGGAAUUUUGGACAAUGGGCGCAAGCCUGAUCCAGCAAUGCCGCGUGCAGGAUGAAGGCCUUCGGUUG